GCUGUUUUGGGUGAAAAGAAAAUCAAAAUGGGAAAGUGAGUGAAUAAAAAACAAAAUGUACUGCACAGUGUUGUAAAGGACUGUUACAGAGUUCUUUUGAAUAAUGACGAAUUACUUCCUGAUUCAUGGUUGGUGACUUUUUUUUUAAACCCCACCCCCGACCCCAAGAAAUUUACCAUCAGGGAGGAACUGGUAUAGUUAACAUGUUUCUUUUUAGCAAGGCCCUCCAAAGUCAAAUGUGUGAUCCAUCCAGUCUAACAAAGCCAUUUCCUCAAUCUUAGAACCCACAGCUCUCCUAGGUAUAAAUUCCAUUUCAGAGGAAGACUUUUGACCACCGUUGAGCAGAAGAUGCUAGAGAAGAGCAAAGUUACUUGAAAGAAUUUCCUUCUACUAAAGAGAACUUACAAAUU
rnacentral:lncRNA from 1 species